GACGAACGCUGGCGGCGUGCCUAAUACAUGCAAGUAGAACGCUGAAGCUUGGUGCUUGCACCGUGCGGAUGAGUUGCGAACGGGUGAGUAACGCGUAGGUAACCUGCCUGGUAGCGGGGGAUAACUAGUGGAAACGAUAGCUAAUACCGCAUAAGAGUAGAUGUUGCAUUACGUUUGCUUAAAAGGUGCAAAUGCAUGACUAACAGAUGGACUUGCGUUGUAUUAGCUAGUUGGUGAGGUAACGGCGCACGAAGGGGACGUUACAUAGCCGACCUGAGAGGGUGAUCGGCCACACUGGGACGGAGACACGGCCCAGACUCCUACGGGAGGCACCAGUAGGGAAACGUCGGCAAUCGACGGAAGUCUGACCGAGCAGCGCCGCGUGAGUGAAGAAGGUUUUCGGAUCGUAAAUCUCUGUUGUAAGAGAAGAACGAGUGUGAGAGUGGAAAGUUCACACUGUGACGGUAUCUUACCAGAAAGGGACGGCUAACUACGUG
rnacentral:rRNA from 1 species